GAACAGACCGAAGGUCACUUUUCUUGGGCACUAUAUUUGUUGAAUUAGCUCCGCCUUAGCAUGUUCAAAAAUAAAGGACAAGUGUGCAAACGAGUUAUUGAACGAAUAUCUAUCGGUUGAACUCACCUGCAACGGAAAGACCAAGAACAAAUUCAUUAGCGAGUCAGGCACAUUAUCCGCAAUUAGUUAGGCCCCAGCAGACAAAUCUGCAAAGCAAGCAAACAAACUGCGAACUGCUAAACCAUAAAACCAGAAAAGUCGUCCAACUUUUCCAGCAAACGACCCAACAACAACCGCCCGAAAAAAAGCCCGCUCCUCCCCCUCACCGAUUUCGUCCGAACAAGGAUGCUGUCCUGGAGCUGCUUCCUCGUGGCGAGUAUAUCAAAACUUGUUCCUUGUUUGCCGCAGUUUUGUGCGAGCGGGCAGCGCGGAAAGUUUGCUUCUGCGGAAGCUAGGCGGGUGGCUAUCGGAAAUUCCGUGUUAUGCGCCGCCUUGCAUUUGUGUUUUCGAUGGUCCUGCAGCCGGACCGCCGGUGUAGGCAGUCCUGUCAACGGUGACCGGCGGAUGUCGGGCAGCUGGAUUUUAACGCUAGACUAUAGACGGUGGAGAGAUAUGGCACCUGAGGAUUGGGCUUGGUUUCAGUUCCUUGACUAUCAGAUACCCAUUAUUCAGCCAAAGAGAUGGUGGAGCUGUGCAAAGCGAGUGCUGUUGCAAGCAGUAAUGAGACUUGCUUAGAAAAUGCACGUCAGAUGACAUUACUAGCUAAUAUUUAUUUAAUUAACCUUAAGUUAACUUUUGAAAAGAAAUACGUCGGAAUUUUCGUCAUGUAUUAGCUUAUCAAUACAUAAUACUUUAAGCAGACAGACGUUAGCGUUUUGGGUGCCCUAUCUUAACUUACUAGCUUUUAUAGUUUGGUUUGUACGGGCAAAACUUUUCGGUUUUUGACUUAAGCCACCCUAACCUCAGUAAAAUUGGAAUAGUGGAUGGGUGAGAUUCAAAAAGGGCUUUAACUUUGCGGGCAGACCGCAUCUAAUACAGACACUCCAGCCGAUUAAUUAAUCAAUGCAAAUUUCUCUCCGCAUGACAUUCGUUCGUGAAAAGUUGUCCGGCUGAGUACUUCACUUCACCGGGGCUCCAAGUGCCAUCGAGCCCCACCUAUUGCGCCCACCCACUCCACUAUUUUGCCCUUCACAGCACUCAAAAAGCCACACAACACUUCUGACCAAACGAAGCCCCAUUCCCAUGCACACCCGUUUCCUCAUUUCUGGGAUCGGGCUAAAUUAAAACACGAAUUGAAUUAUACAAAUACAUGAGCCGGGCACAACGAAAUACGGAAUGCGAGCUCUUGCUGAAAUGCACGUGGAAAAACCGCACAAGAGGCCACUCUCCGGUUAAGUUGACCGUAUUUAAUGGGCUUGGUUGGCAGACCUCUUCACUAAUACUGGCGUGUGGAUGUGGGCAUGUGAUUGAGAAGGCGAUGUGUGUGCGUGGCGAGGACCAGGAGCUUGCUCAUAUUUUCAAUAGCUUAAAAUAAUCACUCCUGCCGGGGGGCAGGAUGUAUUGCACACACGCACAGUUCUAAUUAAAC